CUUGCAUCAUGAUUUACAUUUGAGUGAGUGGCGAACUGGUGAGUAACACGUGGGAAACCUGCCCAGAAGCGGGGGAUAACACCUGGAAACAGAUGCUAAUACCGCAUAACAACUUGGACCGCAUGGUCCGAGCUUGAAAGAUGGCUUCGGCUAUCACUUUUGGAUGGUCCCGCGGCGUAUUAGCUAGAUGGUGGGGUAACGGCUCACCAUGGCAAUGAUACGUAGCCGACCUGAGAGGGUAAUCGGCCACAUUGGGACUGAGACACGGCCCAAACUCCUACGGGAGGCAGCAGUAGGGAAUCUUCCACAAUGGACGAAAGUCUGAUGGAGCAACGCCGCGUGAGUGAAGAAGGGUUUCGGCUCGUAAAACUCUGUUGUUAAAGAAGAACAUAUCUGAGAGUAACUGUUCAGGUAUUGACGGUAUUUAACCAGAAAGCCACGGCUAACUACGUGCCAGCAGCCGCGGUAAUACGUAGGUGGCAAGCGUUGUCCGGAUUUAUUGGGCGUAAAGCGAGCGCAGGCGGUUUUUUAAGUCUGAUGUGAAAGCCUUCGGCUCAACCGAAGAAGUGCAUCGGAAACUGGGAAACUUGAGUGCAGAAGAGGACAGUGGAACUCCAUGUGUAGCGGUGAAAUGCGUAGAUAUAUGGAAGAACACCAGUGGCGAAGGCGGCUGUCUGGUCUGUAACUGACGCUGAGGCUCGAAAGUAUGGGUAGCAAACAGGAUUAGAUACCCUGGUAGUCCAUACCGUAAACGAUGAAUGCUAAGUGUUGGAGGGUUUCCGCCCUUCAGUGCUGCAGCUAACGCAUUAAGCAUUCCGCCUGGGGAGUACGGCCGCAAGGCUGAAACUCAAAGGAAUUGACGGGGGCCCGCACAAGCGGUGGAGCAUGUGGUUUAAUUCGAAGCUACGCGAAGAACCUUACCAGGUCUUGACAUACUAUGCAAAUCUAAGAGAUUAGACGUUCCCUUCGGGGACAUGGAUACAGGUGGUGCAUGGUUGUCGUCAGCUCGUGUCGUGAGAUGUUGGGUUAAGUCCCGCAACGAGCGCAACCCUUAUUAUCAGUUGCCAGCAUUAAGUUGGGCACUCUGGUGAGACUGCCGGUGACAAACCGGAGGAAGGUGGGGAUGACGUCAAAUCAUCAUGCCCCUUAUGACCUGGGCUACACACGUGCUACAAUGGAUGGUACAACGAGUUGCGAACUCGCGAGAGUAAGCUAAUCUCUUAAAGCCAUUCUCAGUUCGGAUUGUAGGCUGCAACUCGCCUACAUGAAGUCGGAAUCGCUAGUAAUCGCGGAUCAGCAUGCCGCGGUGAAUACGUUCCCGGGCCUUGUACACACCGCCCGUCACACCAUGAGAGUUUGUAACACCCAAAGUCGGUGGG
rnacentral:rRNA from 2 species